rnacentral:rRNA from 1 species
UGUCGUCAGCUCGUGUCGUGAGAUGUUGGGUUAAGUCCCGCAACGAGCGCAACCCCUGUCGUUAGUUACUAUGUCUAACGAGACUGCCCCCAUUGGGGAGAGGAAGGUGGGGACGAGGUCAAGUCGUCAUGGCUCUUACGCCUAGGGCUACACACACGCUACAAUGGUCGGAAACAAUGGGCUGCAACAGCGCGAGCUGAAGCGAAUCCCCAAAGCCGAUCUCAGUUGGAAUUGUAGGCUGCAACUCGCCUACAUGAACGUGGAGUUGCUAGUAACCGUAGGUCAGCACACUACGGUGAAUACGUUCUCGGGUCUUGUACACACCGCCCGUCAAGUCAUGGAAGUCGGUAACGCUUGAAGUCGUUGGGCCAACCCUUUGGGAGGCAGACGCCGAGAGUGGGACUGGUGACUGGGACUAAGUCGUAACAAGGUAGCUGUAGCGGAAGCUGCGGCUGGAUCACCUCCUUUCAAGGGAG